UACGUAUGGUGCAAGCGUUAUCCGGAAUUAUUGGGCGUAAAGAGCUCGUAGGCGGUUUGUCGCGUCUGCUGUGAAAACCCGAGGCUCAACCUCGGGCCUGCAGUGGGUACGGGCAGACUAGAGUGCGGUAGGGGAGAUUGGAAUUCCUGGUGUAGCGGUGAAAUGCGCAGAUAUCAGGAGGAACACCGGUGGCGAAGGCGGAUCUCUGGGCCGUAACUGACGCUGAGGAGCGAAGGCCAGGGGAGCAAACGGG
rnacentral:rRNA from 1 species